rnacentral:rRNA from 1 species
AUGGUGAACACGAGGAGAUGCAGGGUGGCCUCGCCGGAAGAGGGCGACGCCGGGAACCACCCACUGGCGAAGGACCGCGUGGGCUGGCACUUCCCUGCGACGCCCUCCUUCCCCGACUUCGCCGUCGCCACUGCCCCCUCCCCUCCCGUCGAGGCUGAGCCUGCACAGCGUGGACGAGCCGGUCGCGAUGGAACCAGAGCGCUCGAGGCCGGGGUAGAGCGGCCAGAGGAGCAGACCAACAUCUGA